rnacentral:misc_RNA from 1 species
GGGCGGUUGAGCUCUCCAGGUCUAUCCAUGAGGUGAUUCUUUUCGGUAGUUAUGCUGCAGAGUUGGAAAACUGUGAAAAGGGCAAGGAAGCAUGUAAUUUUCCACAAGAUCUGUUAUGGAGGGAACCUCUAUUUGAUCAACUUAUAGCUAACAUGUAUCAACCAGGUGAGGUGCGACUUUAUCCUUUCACAUAACUGUUUUUUUAGUGGUAAUUGUUGUACCAUGAUAAAUUACAGUGCUACUGA